rnacentral:rRNA from 1 species
UACAGAGGGGGCAAGCGUUGUUCGGAAUUACUGGGCGUAAAGGGCGCGUAGGCGGCCUUCUAAGUCGAACGUGAAAUCCCUGGGCUCAACCCAGGAACUGCGUCCGAUACUGGAAGGCUUGAAUCCGGGAGAGGGAUGCGGAAUUCCAGGUGUAGCGGUGAAAUGCGUAGAUAUCUGGAGGAACACCGGUGGCGAAGGCGGCAUCCUGGACCGGUAUUGACGCUGAGGCGCGAAAGCCAGGGGAACAAACGGG